rnacentral:misc_RNA from 1 species
ACUUCUAUGUGAGGGAAAAAAACUGAAACUAAAAGCAAGCAAUAAAGUGCAAACAAAUGCUUAGUAUAACAAGCAUCUCAAAUCUUAAUUGAUGAAUCUCCUAUGGAACAAAAGCAACACAUGGCAUUAUUAGCAGAACAAAGGGGGAUGAGCAAGAAAGUACUGUUUGUGCUAUUUGCUUGACCUUGUUUGUAAUCUUAAAAGUCUCUUUAUAUUGCAAAAACUGUAAUUUUGAAACAGAUGUAAAAGAUUACAAGUCUCAUCCUGGUUUGAAAAAGAGAGACUAUUUUCUUUCCUGGCAGAUGUGAACUCUGGUAAGUGAAAUUACAAGUAGCUGAACUGUAUAUCAGCUUCUAUUUUGCCGCACUGAACAUGAUCCCGCUGAUAGAAAUUUCCAUAUUUCAAGGCAUACCAAUUUCUUCA